GAAGGGGAGGAAAGGGCAGAGGGUGGGGGCUUCCUUGGGAAGCUCAGGGAUGAGUCACCAAGGGCCCGGGGAGUGGAGGGUGGGUAGGAUAUGGAGACCAGUCGUGCCGGGCGCUGUAGGGUGGCCCAGCAACCAUGGAAACCAGCCAAGGCAGCAGCCAGAGGAAUCAGCUCAGACAGCAGAAAGACACAUCCAGAGGUCCCCUGAGAAGCGUGAGCAAGCCUCGGAAGGGCUGUGUGUGAAGAAGCCCUGGUGCACAUGCUCUGUGCCUGGUGGAGACCAUCUGCUUUAUCUGAAGACUUUCAGAAGCUGAGGAGCCGGGAAGCUCAAACACCAUCUUGUCUGAGUCGAAGACCAGUGACUUGAAGUGCACGCUCUUUCUUGGCAGGAGCAGGUCUCUCUGGAGCAGGAUGGCCCAGGAGCUCAGCGAGAAGGAGCUAUUGAAGAUGGAGGUGGAACAGUUGAAGAAGGAAGUCAAGACCCCACGAACCCUGCCCCCUGUCCAGGCCCUGUUUUCCUGCACCGAGCAAAUCAUGGAUGCCCACAGACAAACGAGGGCUGGAACCACCCUUUGUUUUCUCACAGAUUUCCACGACAGGAAAGGAAAUCAAGGAUUAUGUGGAGGCAGAAGCAGGAAACGACCUUCUCCUCAAAGGGAGAGAAGAGUAGCAGCGCGAACGUGGCGGGAACUGAGUUUGCAAUGAAGUCAGGAAGCGCUACUCCGCGAAAGGACCAACAGUGGUGUGGGGCACACAGCAGACAGACAGACACUCAGGGCCACGGGCAAGGUCCGCGUGAACUGUUGCAGGCCAGUGGGCCGUGCGGGGGGACGGGGCAGACAGAGGCCCAAGAGGGAGAUGCGUGAAGCCUUGAAGGACCUCCCUGUGAGCCCAGUUAAGAACUGUGUUCCCAGGGCGCCUGGAUGGCUCAGUCGGUUAAGCGGCUGCCUUCGGCUCAGGUCGUGAUCCCAGGGUCCUGGGAUCGAGCCCCGCAUCGGGCUCCCUGCUCAGCGGGAAGCCUGCUUCUCCCUCUCCCGCUCCCCCUGCUUGUGUUCCCUCUCUCGCUGUGUCUCUCUCUGUCAAAUAAAUAAAUAAAAUCUUUAAAAAAAAAAAAAAAGAACUGUGUUCCCCACCGGCUGCAACAGGCAGGACGCAGCCAGCCGAGCGACAGGAUUUGAUUAGCAGGAGGGAGGCUGGUUCCUGCUAAGGAGGAUGCGGAUUCCUGGGCCUUGUUAGCAAGGAGAUUAUAGUCUUAUGGAACCACAGAAGUGAUGAGGGCGCAGAAGGCAAGCGGAGGACAGAGCACAAGGGGACACCCUGCAGCCCUGCCCCCCCCCCCCCACCGUGGGAUCCGUGUGACAUUCCUCAGGCACUCCCCGCUGCCCUAAAGCUAAGGGAAGGAAAAACAAAUGGUUAACUCAUAGAGAUCCCAGUCCUGCAAGACAGGAGUCUCCCUCAUUUUACAAAGGUCUUAGUGAUUUACCAAGAAAAAAAAAAAAAAACAUUCUUAUCAAUAACCUAACUUCCAGAAGGAAACUCCCAACUGUCUUACUGUUAAGACAGUAAUCUAGUAAAGAGGGAAAAACCACCUUAACUUGACAAUGGCAAGGCCUCCAGUAUCUUGUAGGUCCUCUUUAGCAUACAAAAAUUCUUUUUGAAAACCUCGCUUUUUCCUUACCCCCAACUCCCAAGUAUAUAAUCAAGUCACCCCUCACAACCCCGAUGCAGCAGUUCUUUCUGCCACGGGUCCUGUCCCCGUGCUUUAUUAAAACCACCAUUUUGCACCAAAGACGUCUCAAGAAUUCUUUCUUGGCUGUCGACUCCGGACCUCACCCCACCAAACCUCACCUACAUUCAAAAACUACAUCAGAAGGACUCACAUGAUACAAUGCGUUCAGUGCAAAGUCUGUGUGUGUGGUGGGGGGCGUCAGGGGGACCCAUAGGAGGGCAGCCUAAUCCAGCCAAAUGGGUGAGUUGCGUCCUGGGAGGGAAAAUCCGUAAAAGCCUCUAGAAGGAGGUGAUAUCCGGAGCUGAAUCCUAAACACUGAAGUUGUAAAUGGGCAGAUGCAUGGCAAAUCUGGCUGAAGUGGCCGUAUAAACAGACGCAUAGGUAUGAGAAGGGAAAAAUGUAGGAACCAGGGUUUGAAUACAAACACCAACCGGGUUGGAGUGGGACUGUCCAAGGAGAGGCCUAGAUCUUUGGAAUUCACUGCUAGAGAGGUGGGCUUGGAGAUGAGCAGAAGGGUCUUCGCGUCACCCACCUUCAUCUGGGGUGUGAGUUGGCAAUGUUUGCAUUUAGAAGGAAACUGGCUUUUGACAAGAUUGAAAGGAGAAAGAAUGGAGGCGGAGAGACAGUUAAGGAGAUGGUCCUUAGAUUGGGGGAGUUGCCGUCUUAAGUCUAGAGUGGGAGGUGGGGUG